rnacentral:misc_RNA from 1 species
UUUCCGUAGGUGAACCUGCGGAAGGAUCAUUACCUAUAUAUGGCCACAGGGCAAGCUUUUCGAGAGGAUUGAGCUUGCUGUGUGAACCCGACCUUCCCUUGCUUUUUCCGUGCCCAUUGUUUCCUCGGCAGGCUUGCCUGCCAGUAGGCCCCUCUUCACCCCUAAGUAAUUGCAAACAGUGUCAGAUACAACCUAAUCGUUACAACUUUCAACAACGGAUCUCUUGGUUCUG